rnacentral:lncRNA from 1 species
ACACAAAUUAAUUUUAAAUACAGUAUAAGGCAAACUAUUACGUUUGUGAGCUAUAUAACAAUAAAGUGCAAAACAUAAUAUUACAGUUUAUAGUGGUAUAACAUACAAACGGAGAAAUUAGCUGAACUGCAGAUAAGCUAAUUGAAAUAUGUCCUAUUUUAUAGCGCGAAAGGAAGGUUAUUUAUAAUACCGAUUGAUUGUAGUGCGUGUUCGUCGGGCUAAGAUCAAGUAUGGAUUGUAUGUAUUUGCGUACGAAUGUAUCGAGUACGUAGAAGGUGGUGGUAUUUAUACAGAGGUGGAAGUAAGAGAAACCAACUGAAGCUUAGCUGGAGAAUUAUCAUCUAUACUAAAUCUGAAUGAUUUGUUGGAUUAAUGUGAGGAUGAGAAUGUUUUUCUCUUCAGUAAAAGUUCACAAUGCUCUUUAAAGUAGAAAACGGAAAAUUAGUACUAUAAAUGGGUUUUUUUGCUUCUGCUUUUAGUUGCUGCUGUUUUUGGAAAAUGUAUAUUAGGUUAAAUAAAAAGGUCUGAAACUUUUUCUAUAGUGAGAAUUAAAAAUAAAAUUUUAUUUAAGCAUAAAUUAAAAGGUUGAAGCUAAAAAAAAUAGGGGAAACUUCAAAUACCCCUAUGUGGUAUCGCACUUUCUCAAUUUAGUAUCCUGUGGUUUAAAAUGUAUCAAAUUAGUAUCCUGUGGUUUCAUACUUUUUCACUUCAGUAUCUUAUGGUUUCAAGUGUAUCAAGUUAGUACCUUAUGAUUUCAUUUUUAUAUCAAGUUAGUACCAUGUGGUUUAAUUUUCUCUUUUUAUUAUUCAUUUCAGGGUGUAUAAUUUAAUGAAAUAUUAAACCACAUGGUACUAAAGUGAGAAAGUGUAAAACCACAGGUUACUAACUUGAUACAGUUUAAACCAUAGGGUACUAAAGUGAAAAAGUGUGAAACCACAAGGUACUAACUUAAUACACUUUAAACCACAGGAUAGUAAACUGAGAAAGUGCGAAACCACAGGGAGGGUAUUUGAAGUUUCUCUAAAAAAAUAUAAGUUAUUCUGGAAUAACAACCCUAAACCUUUAUAUUGAUUGAGAGCCCACGACUUUUAGUUUUUUUUAAAAAAAAAUUGAGUGAUUUUAGCCAAAUUGAUUUAUAAUUAUAUCAAAUCUAAUGAUUUAAGCAACUUCAUGUGAAUAAAAUUAGACUAAUCAACUGUUAAUAGCUAAUAAAGCAAUAUCAGUUUGACAUCCAAUGUUUUUUAUACUAACAAGGCCCGGAAGGUUUAGUGGGUGGUCGUACGCUGGUUAAGACUUUCAGGUAAGGAGGAUCGCGCGUGGCGUCGAGGUGGGUAGGUGAAUAGGGUUUGAUGUUCGUGCAGCAGUGGGUCAAGGAGGCGGACUUCCAGGAGCUCAGGGUAGUGAUACCACAUGAACCAUUUUUGCGUAACUCACUUAUCCACCAGGUGUCUGAGUAGCACUCGGGACGUCUCGUGUGUCUGACACAGAGGCCAGGUGGGAGCGAAUUGCUCCAAUAGUCAUCAUUCACGUUCCAUUUAUCAAUAAAGACGAACUAGAAAUGUUUGUAAAAAUGGCUAGUUAUUAAUCAUGUCUAUUAUAGAAACAUGGUUUCGUAAAAAGUGGUCCGUUUUGAAAGUUACACUCUGUUUUUUACUUCCUUUACGGUUACAGACCCGUUGUUAGAACGUCACGGACAGUGAAAGUAAUUGCGAAACUCCUUAGUUGGUUUUAAAGACGAUAAGAUCACGAUUGAGUCACGUCGUGUUGAAGAACAAUAAUUAAUAGGUAAAACCCGGUAGGAGUUAUUAUCUUAGAAUUUUUUCAAGCAUUUAUGAGUAUUAAUCUUGAUCCGAUUUUAUGAUAGUUAUCGUAGUUCGAUAACCACGAUAAUUAAAAAAUAGGAAACCUAACUUUUUACGUACCAAUCUUAUUACACCUGUGAGAUCCCAACUCACUCACCAACUAACUUAUCAUAUUAGAUUGUCUAUUUUUAUUAGUUUACCAAUUUAAAUUGCCACUUUUUAAGCUAUCGUGGUUUAAGAACUAUGAUAGUUAUCAUAGGGUCGGCCUGAGGAGUAUUAAUAAGAUUAGUGCUUUUCUUCGAAGGAAAAGCGCUUCCCUCUUCUUCAGCCUCUCGAGUAAGCCGAGAAACCGAUCGAAGCCUCACUCUAGUUCAUACCUAACAUACAGAAACGCAUGCUUACAUAGCUCAUGCAUCUUCUCACCACCAUAAAUAUGUCUCCAACUUCAUUCUCUUAGAAUGACUUCGAAUCGACCUCUUAGAUAGUACAUAUGAAUUAGACUUUACUAAAAAACCUAACUACACUCCUAAANNNNNNNNNNNNNNNNNNNNNNNNNNNNNNNNNNNNNNNNNNNNNNNNNNNNNNNNNNNNNNNNNNNNNNNNNNNNNNNNNNNNNNNNNNNNNNNNNNNNGUUGGUUGGUGGGUGAGUUAAGAUUCCUCGGGUGAUAGUUGGAUUAGCAUUGGUGAGAGUAGGAUUGGCGUGUAAAAAAGUAGGCUUGCCGGUUUUUCAAUACUCAUGUUUUCCGAGAUAUGAGUAUACUCAUAUCAUCGGGGUCAAUAUUUUCUAAUAAAAUAUAACACAUUAAUUUAUAAAUAUAAUUUUUAUUGUAAAAUUUUGGAUAUAUAUAAUGUACAAAUUUAUAUUGAAUUGAAAUAAAUUAUAAUAAUUGUUACGUGCAUUUGCACGUACAUUCAACUAGUAUAUAUAUAUAUAUAUAUAUAUAUAUAUAUAUAUAGUCCGGCUACUAUACUCUUAUGAGUACGAUCACCCUCGUACUCAUAAGUUGUUUUCGAUGAUAUAUAGAGCUUCCGAAUCGACGAUCUAUACCGUUAAACGUUAUUUAGAGCAUUUAAAACUUCUAGAAAUCAAAUUUUAUAAUUUUUUGACAUCAUUUACCUUACGAUUAAAAGGUCACAAAAUUGACAAUUUUUAACGGCCGGUGUGGGAUACUUGGUAGUUUAACGGUGUAAAAGAAUCGGAAUCGGUUGAAUUUUUGAUAGAAAAUUUUAAUUACUACGUAGAUAAAGAUCAAUAACUCCGAUCUUAAAUUGAAGGAUCUGAUCAUCCAUUUUUAAGACGUCGUUCGAUUUCGACCGUUCAUUUUAUGCCCGCUUGAUGGACUUUAUUAUGAUUUCAAAAAAUUACGAAAUUUAUAUUCUAGAAGUUUCAAAUACUCUAGAUCAUUUUUAACGGAAUGGAUCGUCGAUUCGGAAGCUCCAUCAUCGAAAACAACUUAUGAGUACGAAGGGUCCAAUAUACUCAUAAGAGGAUAGUAGCCCUACUCUCUCUCUCUCUCUCUCUAUAUAUAUAUAAUAUAUAGGCUGGGGCUAUUAUACUCAUAUGAGUAUAAAGCCUUUUGUACUCAUAAGUUUUCGACCGUUUGGAUGAAAAAAUAUGCGGUUAGAAUGAAAGUGGUUACAGUUAGAUAAAUAGUGGGUCCCCAAGAGUUGAGUGGGUGGUUUGUUGAAUAGUAUAAUCUAAUAUAUGAAAAUAAUUAAAGGGUAGAUCUAACGGUAAAAAACUCAUAAGUACAAUAGACUCUAUACUCAUAAAAAUAUAGUAGCUGGACUCUAUAUAUAUAUAUAUAUAUAUAUAUAUAUAUAUCAUAAAUUUUUAAAAAUUUAUGUACAAAAUGUACAAGAAAACAGUAACAAAGAAAAUUUUGUACAUUCAUUAAGAGAUAAAAAAAAAUUUAUGCCAAUGUUCGUUGUCUCGGAAUCAAAAGGAGCUUAAGUACGUACAAAAGUACAAAUGUAACAGUAUACAAUUUUCUAAGGACAUAAUCAUAAUUUUAUAUCAAUCAAUCGGCGCGCAUCCACCGAUCGAAAUUGAACUGCAGGAUAUAUCUGCUGCAUUCAUAACUCAUGCGCCCGAUUCUCCAGGAUUGUCGUUACGGCACCGCGCCCCGACCUCGCAGCCCCUGCUAUGGGGCUCGACGGGCUGCGGGCGGCAAUUCUCGAGCCACGGCCUACACCCAGGGUGAUCCCUGGCGAUUACACGGUAGUUUAGAGUAGGGACGGCAUUGGUUCCGGUCGCCAUCACAGCGCAUGCCAAGAGCGCGAGUAAAAUCCAUGCUCGAGUAACGCACGCCAUCUGUUCAAUCAAAAAAUAUAUAUAUAAAGAGACUUUCUUUCUUAGAACACAAAUACAAUAUAAGGCAAACUAUUACAUUUGUGAACUAUAUAACAAUGAAGUGCAAAACAUAAUAUUACGGUUUAUAGUGGUAUAACAUACAAACGCAGAAAUAAGCUGAACUACAGAUAAGCUAAUUGAAAUAUGUCCUAUUUUAUAACGCGAAAGGAAGGUUAUUUACAAUACCGAUUGAUUGUAGUGCGUGUUCGUCGGGCUAAGAUCGAGUAUGGAUUGUAUGUAUUUGCGUACGAAUGUAUCGAGUACGUAGAAGGUGGUGGUAUUUAUACAGAGGUGGAAGUAAGAGAAACCAACUGAAGCUUAGCUGGAGAACUAUCAUCUAUACUAAAUCUGAAUGAUUUGUUGGAUUAAUGUGAGGAACUGAGGAGGAGCAUUUUUUUCUCUUCAGUAAAAGUUCACAAUGCUCUUUACAGUAGACAACGGAAAAUUAGUACUAUAAAUGGGUUUUUUUGCUUCUGCUUUUAGUUGCUGCUGUUUUUGGAAAAUGUAUAUUAGGUUAAAUAAAAAGGUCUGAAACUUUUUCUAUAGUGAGAAUUAAAAAUAAAAUUUUAUUUAAGCAUAAAUUAAAAGGUUGAAGCUAAAAAAAAAUAGGGGAAACUUCAAAUACCCCUAUGUGGUUUCGCACUUUCUCACUUUAGUAUCCUGUGGUUUAAAGUGUAUCAAAUUAGUAUCCUAUGGUUUCGCACUUUUUCACUUCAGUAUCUUAUGGUUUCAAGUGUAUCAAGUUAGUACCUUAUAGUUUCAUUUUUGUAUCAAGUUAGUACCAUGUGGUUUCAAUUUUCUCUUUUUAUUAUUCAUUUCGGGGUAUAUAAUUUAAUGAAAUAUUAAACCACAUGGUACUAAAGUGAGAAAGUGUAAAACCACAGGUUACUAACUUGAUACAGUUUAAACCAUAGGUACUAAAGUGAAAAAGUUUGAAAUCACAGGGUACUAACUUGAUACACUUUAAACCACAGGGUAGUAAAUUGAGAAAGUGCGAAACCACAGGGGGGUAUUUGAAAUUUCUCCAAAAAAAUAUAAGCUAUUCUGGAAUAACAACCCUAAACCUUUACAUUGAUUGAGAGCCCACGACUUUUAGUUUUUUUAAAAAAAAUUGAGUGAUUUUAGCCAAAUUGAUUUAUAAUUAUAUCAAAUCUAAUGAUUUAAGCAACUUCACGUGAAUAAAAUUAGACUAAUCAACUGUUAAUAGCUAAUAAAGCAAUAAAAUUUAACAAAAAUUUUCAUUUCUGUAAGUAUACAGUAGAUCCGAACUAGUAAGAUUGUCGCGAGCGUUUGAUUUUGCCAACUUUUUUGCGAUUCUAUCAUCGAGAGACAAGAACCAUACUGUUCACUCCGAAGCUAGCCAAAGAGCCGAAUGAGCUCUCCGACUUCUUCUCCCUUCGCGAAAAGGAAGCUUCUUUUCGUGAUUAGAAUAAUUAUGAGGAGUCCGGCUGGGAUACUAUUGAUAGUAUCAAGAAUUUGGUGCUAUCGAAUUUUUCACCGUUAAAUUUAACCAUUUGAUUAUUUUUAUCUGUUAGAUUAUACUAUUCAAUCAACCACUCACUCAACCCUAGAGUGUCCACAUUAUUCUAACCAUGCAUUUUUCAAUCCAAAGGAUAAAAAAUUAAUAGCACCAAUAGCUUGAUGCUAUUGAUAGUAUUUUAGCCUAGUUCUAAUUAUGAGUAUUUACGAACUUUUUUAAGAUUCUAUUAUUGAGGAUGGCCCAAAAUGGAUAAUUAAUAACAAGAAGUUGUGCUGCACUGAGUUAGCACUAGAAUAGCAGAAAUUUUGGUUGAUUCCUCAAAGCGUUAAUGAAAGUGACAGGCACUGCAAGAUUGUUGCCCAGACAUUGGCAUUUCCUUCAUUUUUUGUCUCACAUUGAAAGUUUUGCCUGGUGAAAAAUGCUUUGGUACAAAGAUAUUAUCUGUACUAAUUAUUGAUCGGUAAAAAUGUUUGUAAAGAUCAAGCAGAAAUAACUAUUUACCUUGCACUUACUACUGAUAACCUCGUUAAGCGAGGGUGGACCGGAGACACAGUCUGUGUGCUCUGCAGGGCUCACGAUGAGUCUGUGGACCACCUAUUCACUCAAUGCGUUUUUACCAAGUACACCAUAGUGAUGGGACUCGAGGACCUUCAGGCGGAGGAACUGGGUGACGACGUGCUUGUAGUUUGGGAUAAGUGGAUGGGUGGAGCUGCGGUGCGCGCUAGGAGGAAUGGACUUUCAGAAUUGGUCGCAUGCUGGUGGGUGAUUUGGAAGGCCCGGAACAAUCAUAUUUUUUGUAACCUACAGUUUGACUCUGAUUUAGCCGUUCAAAGGCUCAUGGCACUCCUAACUUCGUGGAAAGAUCUGCUAUGAUUUUUUUUUUUUUUUUUUUUUUUUUGUGUUGUUUUUCUUGAGGCCUUUGUUGCUUCACCUCUGUAGUCAAAUUCAUCCAUUCAAUGAAUGAAGCAGGUAGCGUGCUAUCUAUUCUCAAAAAAAAAACUUCUGAUUUUGAUUACUACAUAAAUUUUCAUUUACUUGAUUUUAGUUGUUUUGUAAUUAUGAGAAACUAUUGUACACACUUGGUGUACUAGUACAUUCUUAUGCUGCAUUUUUAUUGAUUAUUUGUUUUAUUUGCUUUUUCUAUCUCUAACAGCCGAUAAGUUGUCGUUUUUUAGUUAAAAGUUGAGUAAUUGAAUUAACAACAUGAACUGCACUAAAAAAAAAGAAUCUAUACAACAUUUUCAAAACAUGUUUACAAAAAAGUAAAUUUUCUUUUAGUAGGAGCAUUAACAUAUUAAUUAAUAAUAUACAAAGAUAAUAUUCUGGAGAGCUUAUUGCAAAGCCCUUUAUACUCAUAAAUUUUCGACCGUUUGGAUGAAAAAAUAUGCGGUUAGAAUGAACGUGGUUACGGUUAGAUAGAUAGUGGGUCCCCUAGAGUUGAGUGGGUGGUUUGUUGAAUAGUAUAAUCUAAUAUAUGAAAAUAAUUAAAGGGUAGAUCUAACGGUAAAAAACUCAUAAGUACAAUAGACUCUAUACUCAUAAAAAUAUAGUAGCCGGACUCUAUAUAUAUAUAUAUAUAUAUAUAUAUAUAUAUAUAUAUAUAUAUAUAUAUAUAUAUAUAUAUAUAUAUAUAUCAUAAAUUUUUAAAAAUUUAUGUACAAAAUGUACAAGAAAACAGUAACAAAGAAAAUUUUGUACAUUCAUUAAGAGAUAAAAAAAUUUAUGCCAAUGUUCGUUGUCUCGGAAUCAAACGGAGCUUAAGAACAUACAAAAGUACAAAUGUAACAGUAUACAAUUUUCUAAGGACAUAACCAUAAUUUUAUAUCAAUCAAUCGGCGCGCGCAUCCACCGAUCGAAGUUGAACUACAAGAUAUAUCUGCUGCAUUCAUAACUCAUGCGCCCGAUUCUCCAGGAUUGUCGUUACGGCACCGCGCCCCGACCUCGCAGCCCCUGCUAUGGGGCUCGACGGGCUGCGGGCGGCAAUUCUCGAGCCACGGCCUGCACCGACGGUGAUCCCUGGCGAUUACACGGUAGUUUAGAGUAGGGACGGCAUUGGUUCCGGUCGCCAUCACCGCGCAUGCCAAGAGUGCGAGUAAAAUCCAUGCUCGAGUAACGCACGUCAUCUGUUCAAUCAAAAAAUAUAUAUAUAAAGAGAUUUUCUUUCUUAGAACACAAAUUAAUUUUAAAUACAAUAUAAGGCAAACUAUUACAUUUGUGAACUAUAUAAUAAUGAAGUGCAAAAUAUAAUAUUACGGUUUAUAGUGGUAUAACAUACAAACGCAGAAAUAAGCUGAACUACAGAUAAGCUAAUUGAAAUAUGUCCUAUUUUAUAACGCGAAAGGAAGGUUAUUUACAAUACCGAUUGAUUGUAGUGCGUGUUCGUCGGGCUAAGAUCGAGUAUGGAUUGUAUGUAUUUGCAUACGAAUGUAUCGAGUACGUAGAAGGUGGUGGUAUUUAUACAGAGGUGGAAGUAAGAGAAA